GGUUGCGGGGUCGGAUCAU
rnacentral:rRNA from 1 species